rnacentral:rRNA from 1 species
AGAGUUUGAUCAUGGCUCAGGAUGAACGCUGGCGGUGUGCCUAAUACAUGCAAGUCGAACGAAGCCUUCGGGCUUAGUGGCGGACGGGUGAGUAACACGUUGGUACCUACCCCUAAGUGGGGAAUAACUGCCCGAAAGGGUGGCUAAUACCGCAUAAUCCCGCAAGGGUAAAGCAGUAAUGCGCUUAGGGAGGGGCCUGCGUCUGAUUAGCUAGUUGGUGAGGUAAUUGCUCACCAAGGCGACGAUCAGUAGCUGGAUCGAGAGGUUGACCAGCCACACUGGGACUGAGAUACGGCCCAGACUCCUACGGGAGGCAGCAGUAAGGAAUCUUCCACAAUGGACGAAAGUCUGAUGGAGCAACACCGCGUGCAGGAUGACGGCCUUCGGGUUGUAAACUGCUUUUAUAUGGGAAGAUUAUGACGGUACCAUAUGAAUAAGGACCGGCUAACUACGUGCCAGCAGCCGCGGUAAUACGUAGGGUCCAAGCGUUAUCCGGAAUCACUGGGCGUAAAGCGUGCGUAGGUGGCGCGUUAAGUGUGAUGUUAAAUCGCGGGGCUCAACCCUGUCGAUGCAUCGCAUACUGGCGUGCUAGAGGGAAGCAGAGGCAAGUGGAAUUUGUAGUGUAGCAGUGAAAUGCGUAGAUAUUACAAGGAACACCAAUGGCGAAGGCGCUUGCUGGGCUUCUUCUGACACUGAGGUACGAAAGCGUGGGGAGCGAACAGGAUUAGAUACCCUAGUAGUCC